AACGAAGUGGAGGGGGAGUCAGGGACGUCAUAGAUGAUGGACGUGCAGUGGGGGGUUCUGGAUAGGGUAGGUCAGCAACCGUAUUGCAUAACCAAGCCUCCAAACGGUAUGAAUCUCCACAAGGUGCACCAACAAUUCCGCAAAAGCCUCAUCACAUGUAGCACACGAACACACUAUGACAGGGUUUCCCGCAAAAGACGGCCCCAGAUACGGGGCGAUACGGGAAUCGCGUGGAAGAACACAAGGGGACAGACGGUAGAAAUAUAAACCAGCAACACCCAGAAGACAGUGCCACUCAGGGUCCCAAAACAGGGGGAAAGGAAAGGUGGGCCACGAAGGCCUUGGAGUAGCUGCUAUGGCCGAGAGGUAUCUCAAGUGAAACCCUAGGAAAAAUAAACAUCAAAGUAAAAUGUUGUAUGUAUAUAACUGCUUACUGCAGGCUGAAAUGUGAUCACGCUAAGUUCCCUACUGCAUUAGGGUCGAAAAAACUUACCCUUACCCCAUUUCUCUUCUGUAUCCCACUGCAAUGAUCUUGACUCAAUAAAAGUUGUCAAAUUGGAAAAAAAAA